rnacentral:rRNA from 1 species
GGGCCCGCACAAGCGGUGGAGCAUGUGGUUCAAUUCGACGCAACGCGAAGAACCUUACCCAGGCUUGAACAGCGAGUGACCAUCGACGAAAGUCGACUUCCGCAAGGACACUCGUAGAGGUGCUGCAUGGCUGUCGUCAGCUCGUGUCGUGAGAUGUUGGGUUAAGUCCCGCAACGAGCGCAACCCUUGUUUGCUGUUGCCAUCAGGUUAUGCUGGGCACUCUGCAAAGACUGCCGGUGAUAAACCGGAGGAAGGUGGGGAUGACGUCAAGUCAGCAUGGCCUUUAUGUCUGGGGCUACACACGUGCUACAAUGGCCGGUACAAACCGUCGCGAUACCGUAAGGUGGAGCUAAUCGGAGAAAGCCGGUCUCAGUUCGGAUAGCAGGCUGCAACUCGCCUGCUUGAAGUUGGAAUCGCUAGUAAUCGCGGAUCAGCACGCCGCGGUGAAUACGUUCCCGGGCCUU